rnacentral:rRNA from 1 species
CCUACGGGUGGCUGCAGUGAGGAAUAUUGCUCAAUGGACGAAAGCCUGACCCAGCCAAGUCGCGUGAAGGAUGACUGUCCUCUGGGUGUUAAACUUCUUUUAUAUGGGAGUAAAAUGUUCCAGGUGUGGGAUUUUGUAUGUACCAUAUGAAUAAGGAUCGGCUAGCUCGGUGCCAGCAGCCGCGGUAAUACGGAGGAUGCGAGCGUUAUCCGGAUUGAUUGGGUUUAAAGGGAGCGUAGGUGGAUUGUUAAGUCAGUUGUGAAAGUUUGCGGCUCAACCGUAAAAUUGCAGUUGAAACUGGCAGUCUUGAGUACAGUAGAGGUGGGCGGAAUUCGUGGUGUAGCGGUGAAAUGCUUAGAUAUCACGAAGAACUCCGAUUGCGAAGGCAGCUCACUGGACUGCAACUGACACUGAGGCUCGAAAGUGUGGGUAUCAUACAGGAUUAGAUACCCUGGUAGUC